rnacentral:rRNA from 1 species
UCCGGUUCACUUUAACACUGAGGCGUGAUGACGAGGCACUACGGUGCUGAAGCAACAAAUGCCCUGCUUCCAGGAAAAGCCUCUAAGCAUCAGGUAACAUCAAAUCGUACCCCAAACCGACACAGGUGGUCAGGUAGAGAAUACCAAGGCGCUUGAGAGAACUCGGGUGAAGGAACUAGGCAAAAUGGUGCCGUAACUUCGGGAGAAGGCACGCUGACACGUAGGUGAAGUGAUUUACUCAUGGAGCUGAAGUCAGUCGAAGAUACCAGCUGGCUGCAACUGUUUAUUAAAAACACAGCACUGUGCAAACACGAAAGUGGACGUAUACGGUGUGACGCCUGCCCGGUGCCGGAAGGUUAAUUGAUGGGGUCAGCGCAAGCGAAGCUCCUGAUCGAAGCCCCGGUAAACGGCGGCCGUAACUAUAACGGUCCUAAGGUAGCGAAAUUCCUUGUCGGGUAAGUUCCGACCUGCACGAAUGGCGUAAUGAUGGCCAGGCUGUCUCCACCCGAGACUCAGUGAAAUUGAACUCGCUGUGAAGAUGCAGUGUACCCGCGGCAAGACGGAAAGACCCCGUGAACCUUUACUAUAGCUUGACACUGAACAUUGAGCCUUGAUGUGUAGGAUAGGUGGGAGGCUUUGAAGUGUGGACGCCAGUCUGCAUGGAGCCGGCCUUGAAAUACCACCCUUUAAUGUUUGAUGUUCUAACGUGGACCCGUGAUCCGGGUUGCGGACAGUGUCUGGUGGGUAGUUUGACUGGGGCGGUCUCCUCCUAAAGAGUAACGGAGGAGCACGAAGGUUGGCUAAUCCUGGUCGGACAUCAGGAGGUUAGUGCAAUGGCAUAAGCCAGCUUGACUGCGAGCGUGACGGCGCGAGCAGGUGCGAAAGCAGGUCAUAGUGAUCCGGUGGUUCUGAAUGGAAGGGCCAUCGCUCAACGGAUAAAAGGUACUCCGGGGAUAACAGGCUGAUACCGCCCAAGAGUUCAUAUCGACGGCGGUGUUUGGCACCUCGAUGUCGGCUCAUCACAUCCUGGGGCUGAAGUAGGUCCCAAGGGUAUGGCUGUUCGCCAUUUAAAGUGGUACGCGAGCUGGGUUUAGAACGUCGUGAGACAGUUCGGUCCCUAUCUGCCGUGGGCGCUGGAGAACUGAGGGGGGCUGCUCCUAGUACGAGAGGACCGGAGUGGACGCAUCACUGGUGUUCGGGUUGUCAUGCCAAUGGCACUGCCCGGUAGCUAAAUGCGGAAGAGAUAAGUGCUGAAAGCAUCUAAGCACGAAACUUGCCCCGAGAUGAGUUCUCCCUGAGACUUUAGGUCUCCUGAAGGAACGUUGAAGACGACGACGUUGAUAGGCCGGGUGUGUAAGCGCAGCGAUGCGUUGAGCUAACCGGUACUAAUGAACCGUGAGGCUUAACCUU